rnacentral:rRNA from 1 species
AUGCAGGAUGCUAUGCCGGAGGCCCCUGCUGCGCGACGCGCGGGCAACUGCUCCGCGCCGUUGUUCGCGCCGCCUCCUCCUUGGUUUGGUCGUCUGUGGAUGCCGGCCGAGGCCGUGCUUGUACGUGCGGGAGCGAGGACGCCGCCGUCCGCCAAGAACCGCGUCGCUUCGUUGCCGAUCGUGAAGACCAAGCGUGCCUGUACGCCGAAGAUCGCGUCGCUUCCAUGGACGGCGUCGAGGACGUCCACCGCCUUAUGCGUGAGCCCUGAAGGCAACUGUCGCAUGCGUGCUCGUCGAAGACGCGUGCCGAAUGGAUAG